UACGGAGGAUCCGAGCGUUAUCCGGAUUUAUUGGGUUUAAAGGGUGCGUAGGCGGCCUUUUAAGUCAGCGGUGAAAGUCUGUGGCUCAACCAUAGAAUUGCCGUUGAAACUGGGGGGCUUGAGUAUGUUUGAGGCAGGCGGAAUGCGUGGUGUAGCGGUGAAAUGCUUAGAUAUCACGCAGAACCCCGAUUGCGAAGGCAGCCUGCCAAGCCAUUACUGACGCUGAUGCACGAAAGCGUGGGGAUCAAACAGG
rnacentral:rRNA from 1 species